rnacentral:rRNA from 1 species
UACAGAGGGUGCAAGCGUUAAUCGGAAUUACUGGGCGUAAAGCGUGCGUAGACGGUUACAUAAGUCGGGUGUGAAAGCCCCGGGCUCAACCUGGGAAUUGCAUUCGAGACUGCGUAGCUAGGGUGCGGAAGAGGGAAGCGGAAUUUCCGGUGUAGCGGUGAAAUGCGUAGAGAUCGUAAGGAAGACCAGUGGCGAAGGCGAGUUUCUGGACAGUUACUGACGCUGAGGCACGAAGGCCAGGGGAGCAAACGGG